UAAAAUCCCUAAAAGUACCCCAACUUAAAAUGCCUUUAAAAAAUUUCGUCAAUUCACAUACAACCCACAUCUUGUCUCUGCAUAGGAUUAAUCUGCAUCAAGACAAACAUUGUCAAGAGAAUAAUUAAGCUUCACACAUCUUAACAUAUUAUCACUUCAAAUAGUCAAUAUGUAUGAUUAGAUGACAUAGCCCACCCAAAAAAAAAAAAAACAUAAUUUCAUAAUAAUACAGAAAACAUGUAAUAAUAAUAUACAAAUAAGUGAAUUAGUUACUAUUAAACACAUAAUAACAAACCAUAUAAAGAAAAAUGAAUCCAUAAGUGUAGAAUAAAUAAUAAUCAACAACACAAAAUGAGAUACAACUAAAAUAAUGCUACAAACUUAAUGUCAAAAUCACACAUAAAAGUUCAAAACUUAAGCAAUAUUCUUAUUAUAAAUCUUGGAAAGGAUUCUUUAUACAUUGGAUAAUAACUUUGAAUAUAAUGGUGAAUGAAAACUUUGGUUAAUAUAUUAGUUCCUUUUCUAUUUUUUUUCUUCCUUCAAGAGGGAAUAAUGAGCUUAAAAAGAUCUUUAAAGCAUAACAUAAAUACAUAGAUGCCCGCUAUAUAUGCAAGUAAAUGUGAUGUGGUAAAGCCUGAAAAUUUCAAAAUUUAUAGAAAAAUUUUUCGGUUGUCAAAUGAAAGAUAAUCCUUGUAUUAAACAAACUCUCCUCUUUAAUGAAGAGUCACGCAUGAUUGAAUUUCAAUUGAAAAAAGAAAAUUAUGUGUUUAUUCUUCAUCCUUAUCUUCAUGAUCAUUGGUUGUUGAGUUAAGAGCAUUCUACUUAUGAGUAGAUAAGGUAUUACAAAUGGGAAAUACCAAACUUCUCAUGCAUGCAAAAUUUAGAAGAACUAUAUAUAUAUAUAUAUAUAUAUAUAUAUAUAUAUAUAUAUAUAUAUAUAUAUAUAUAUAUAUAUAUAUAUAUGGAUUAGAACAAAUAAUUAAAGUGAAUCUAUUAACCAUGGUUAAAAUCAUCAUUUAUGAUAGUUUCACAUAAUCGAGAUUUUCACAAAUAUUAAGGUCCUAUUUGAUAACUGUUUUUAAAAACAGUUUAAAAAAAUAGUUUUUGAAAAAUAUUGUAUGAUGUUUUGUAAAACAAAAGUUUGUUUGGAAUCUGAAACGUUUUUAACAUAUUUUUAAUAUUUUUCAAAAACUAUUUUUAUAUCUAGGGUUUUAUUUUUAAUCACCAUAUUAUAAUUAUUUUUUAAAAUAGUUAUAAAAAAAAUAAGUGAAAAUAACUAAAAAUGUUAUCUGAAAACAUCAUAUUUUUUAUUAUUGAGAACAUAAAAUAGAAAAUAGUUUCCUAGCUGUCCAAUGCAUUUUUUAAUUUUUAAUUUUAAAAAAUAGAAAACCGUUUUCCAAAACAGUUACCAAACUGAACCUAAAAUUUUAAAAAAGAGAAGCUUAUGACUAAAAUUCCGAUUGGUAAGACCACAAUUUUGGCCUAGGGCUUGGCUCGUAAGGCUUUUCCAAGACCUUGAAAACUCCAUCCAAAUUGGAAGUCCCAAAACACCGUGGAACACACAUGGAUUAGGAAAUAUUGGUAUGAUUCUGUAACUUAUUGUGCAGUAUUUGAGAGACGACACAAGACACAUAGAACUCUUGAAAACAAAAUAGAAAUCAGUUCUCCCAAUCCAAGUGCUUUGCAACUAUAACCUUAAAAUAUAUGGAAUAACAACCCAAGAAACCCUACAAAAUCAUAUUCCUUUAAGAAACUCAAGGAAAUACACGGCACUAAUAAAACUUUAUCACAUCUUUUUUUAAUCUUAAUUGAACUUUUCUUUUGAGUUUACUUUUAUCGAAGACUCCAUGUAAAUUUUAAAAGGGAAAGGCGGUUUCCAAUAAUUUUAAAAAAUAUAUAUAAAAUAGCUUCAACUUUUAAGAUUUAUCUCUAUCAAUUUUAAAAUAUUUUUAAAUACAUAUUUUUUUUUAAUUAUCUACUAAAACGACAUUUUACUUGUCAAGUUAAUAACAUAAUUGACAAAUUAUUUUUUUUUAUCAUGAGAAAUUUCAGAUUAAUAAAAUAGGAAAUUUUAAAAAUUAAAAAUAUAAUUAAAGCUAAAAAAAAUUUAUAACUAAAAAUAUAAAAAUAAAAUAUUAACUUUCGCUUCACUAAAUCACAUUAGUAGAAAAUGUAGAUUCAAGAAAAAGUAGGAAAUACAAUAGAAGUCAAUAUUUUAUCUUUUUUAAUUUUAAAGUUUUUUUGUUUUAAUUGUAUUUAAUUUUUAAAUAUAUUAGUUUCAAUUGUAUUUUUAAUUUUUAAAAUUUUUUAUUUUAUUGUUGAUGUCAACUAUCAAAAUUUUUAUUCAAUUUUAUUUUUAAAAAAAUGAUAGAAUAGAUUUAUAUAAUAUAGGAUAUAAAAUCAUUAUUAAUUAGAGAAUGAAAAAAAAAUUAUUUAUCCCUUAAGGAUGUUGGAUAAUUUUUGUAAAAUAAUCUAAAUCUCAUGUGUCAUAAUAAAAAAAAUUAUAAUAUAUUUAUUAGUAAGAUAAUUUUAUUAAAUUAAAAUAAUAAAUUAAUUUUUUUAUAAUUUUAUUUAAUAUUAUCAAAUAAAAUGACAUUUUAAGAAAUAAACAUAUGAUUUAUAAAAACAUAUAUAUAUUUUAAAAUAUUUUUAAAUGACUGAAGAUAAAAUUGAUUUGUAAAAAUUGAGGUUGUUUUUUUAAAAUUAGCCAGUAAAAAAUCGCUUUGUAAAAUUAUUUUUUAUGAAUUUAAUUUUUUAAAAAAUUACAAUAUCCAUGCAAAAAGCCAAGGAUGAGGUGGAAUUUAGAAUUUUGGAGGUGAGAUGGUGAGCGAUGCGAGCAUACGGAGGUAGCAAAACAAAGAAUUCAGAUUCAGUUGGCGGGCCGCGUCAUGGGUAAGGCAAGGGCACGCAUUACGAUCACAUCCAACGUAUCACAGGUCGAUUUUCUUGCCUCCCACUCACGGGCCCCCUUCCCGAGUCCAUUCCAAUCUUUAUCCCUUAAAUUUUGUUUUCCAGAACGCAUAGCAGCCGCCUUCGUGUCUGCAAUCUGCAUAACCUAAUGCAUGGGUUUGACCAAUAAGAAUAGAAUGCCUACCACCACGACGUCGUUUGGUACGAUGGAUUGCUUGACAAGUUGGGUUUUUCCAUUUGCAAAUUUCGGCGCUGUACACACCUGCCAAUUUCUGUACCUCAACCUCAAUGGAAACCAAAGCUCCGUCCAAUCUCGCUUUUUCGCAAAACCCGAAAUCCUCAAUUACAAAAUCAGUAAGCAAUGACAGAGACUUCUUGAACCACCUGGAAGCUUACCUCGCAAAGAGAGAUGGAGUCGACAAGCUUCUAAAGAUCUCCAGGUACGCCACCAAGAUCAUCCUCGCUUCCUCGCUCCUCCCGGAAACCUUGACCCUAAAUCGCCGACUCAAGAGCUUUGAGUCCAGCGUCGGUGUGAGUCGCAAAGCCUUCAGACUAGGCAAAUUCGUUCAAGAUUUGAACGCAUUAAGAAACUCGUGUUUCGAUUCGAAAGAAGAUGUGAUCCUCUCCAUCAUUGCCUACGGAGGCGAGGGUUUGUACAUGUUUGUCGAACAGUUCGUGUGGUUUGUUAAAUCGGGUUUGAUCGACGCCAAGCACUCGCGUAAUUUGCAGAAGAUCAGUGCUUGGGCUGGGUUCGUUGGGCACAUAGGGAGUAUCUCGUUGAAAAUUAGGGAUUUGAAGCGGAUCAAUGAAGACGAGUCGCGCUUGCUGUCGACCAUCGAGAUUUCGAUUUCCCGAGGACUUAAGUACGACGAGGAAGCGAAAAAGAUUCACAAAUUGAAGGAGAAAAGGUUGAUGAAGAGGCUGUCAAUUGUUCAAGAUUUGGCCGACGGGUUAAUGGCGUUGGCGGAUAUUCGGGACGGAAAGGGGCGGCUUUCAGGGCCGCUUCUGAUGUCAUCUGCUGGGCUUUUAUCUGCACUUACUAGUGCUCAUAAGAAUUGGCUGUCUUGCUGACACUAAUUAUGGUUUGACAAGGUAUGAUUCUUUCGCCCUGUGUCUUUCUUAUUGAAUUAUAAAUUCAGUCUGGCUAGUGUAUUCAAACUAUUUAGUAGAGAGAGCAAGCGAGAGCUCUCCUACUGUCAGUGUAGGAGAUAGAAUGUGAACCCACAAAAUUUAUUCUCUUCCGUUUGUUAUACUUCUAAUGAGGAAUAAAAUCAUACACAAGCAGUGGUUCAAAUAUAACUUUGUUUGUCAAUAUGUUUGUGACUCUCAUUUAUCUUUGCUAUAAAUGGAGAGUUCUAGGUUUCUUUAUGGGCAACUCAUGUUCACACUCAAUCCAUUCUAGUAAUUAUAUCAAUGUCAAUCUUUCUGAAUUUUAAUGUACUUCUGGGUAUCCGUUGCAGAUAUACUAAGAGUGAAUGGUCCCUUGUUUUUAAGGCCCAACUGGUUUUGAAGACCUUGAGGAUUAGACCAUUUCACAAAAUAAGUGAGAUAGAACUGGGCUAUAUAGUUUAUAACAAGGUGAAUUCAAGUAUUGGGGAGGAUACAACAAUAAAUUAGCUUUCAAGAAAGCCCAAUUCAAUGUGCGAUGAGCCAUGCCAAGGUCUAGCUUGAGGAUUAUGACUCAUUUGUGAUAUCCAAGUUGCAUGUACGUGAUAUCUAAUAUAAUAAGGAACUGACAAUGACAUCUUUUAAAGUCAUGAAGGGCCAUUAGCCUAAAAUGGAUAAUAUCCAUAUGUUGGGAGUAUGCCAUUACAAAUGGUAUUAUAAUUGAGCCAAUCCGAUGUGGGUCUAUGUCUAUUGGGACCACAAGGCAUUUUGCCUAUUUGACACGAUGUUAUGUUUGCAGGGAACACAUUGAUUCCUUUUACCUAUAUAGAUGACUUUUAAAGCCAUGGGAGUUCAUUAGGCUCAAAAUAUGCCAAUAUCUACAUGGAAGUGCGUUUGGUGCAUUUUUCAACGUGGGGAAUAAUGUAAUGAAAGCGGAGGCAUAUCUGCCCCAAGGGUUCAUGGAAAGGAUUCAAGAAGUUGGACUGGUGAUCCCGUCCUGGGCUCCACAAGUGGCGGUGCUCCGCCACCCCUCCACCGGCGGAUUCCUCUCACAUUGCGGGUGGAACUCGACCUUGGAAAGCAUAAGCCACGGCGUUCCCAUGAUUGCGUGGCCGCUGUACGCGGAACAAAGGAUGAAUGCCACGAUGUUGACGGAAGAGGUGGGGGUGGCAGCGCGUCCAGUGGUGGGAGAAGGGAAAAACGUAGUGGAACGGGAGGAGAUAGAGAGGGUGGUGAGGUUGGUGAUGGAAGGUGAAGAGGGGAAAGAGAUGAGGCGUAGGGUGCGAGAGCUGCAAAGCAGUGCCCUGGCCACACUGAAACCAGGUAGGCCAUCUUUUGAGUCCCUUUCUGAAGUGGCUGGGACCUGGACAACCACCGCUCAUUAGUUCGCUGCGACACGUCCCACAUAUAAUUUGUUUGCUGUCUCUUUUUAUUUAUUAAUCGUCGCACCAAUAAUACUACACGGUCUUGGCUUCGAGUAGCAGGUGGGGGCGGGUUGAAGUCUUGAAAGUUGAGACCGCAGAUAGUACGUAUUCCUUCUUUUUGUUAUUUCUUUUUAUAUUCUAAUAUAAGUCUCGUAGAAAAAUAUCCGUGGAAGAUUGAAACACCAUAACAGCAUUCGCAAAAGAUUAAAACAAGAUAAAUCUUAUUAUCAAAAAAUCUUUUUUUUUUCUAAGUAAAAUUACACUUUUAUUUUUAUUUUCUAUUUUAUUUAAAUACAAAAAUAUGUGUAAAUAUUAUAUAGAAAAUAUUUUUAAUAAAAACAUAUCGAGAAGUUAUGCAUAUAAUUACUAAUUUUUUUCAAUUAUAUUAUAUAACAUAAAGUUAUAUAAAUUAAAGUUGUAUAACAAAAAACUAUAUAAUAAAUAUUUUAUAGUCUAAAGCUAUAUAUAAACUUAUAUAUUUUUGUUAUAAUAAAAUAUAUAAAAUAGAAUGUAUAGUAAGAAAUUAUAUAAAAAAAAAUUUCAUAGUUAGAAGUUAUGUAAGCUGUAUUUUCUACGCUUAAGUUAGAAACUUGAAAAUGUUGAUAUCCUAAUUUUGUUUUACUAUAAGCUUUACAAAAAAAAUUUCAUUGGUAGAAACCAUGAAAAUUUUCUGUUGAUAAUUAUUUCAUAGUAGGACCUUUGUGGACAAUUUCUAAAAUUUUAUUGUUUAACUAGAAGUUAUAUAAAGUAACCUUGUUAAUCAACAAUUCUAUAACUAGAAGUUAUAUAGAGAGUUUCUAACUAUGAUAUAACUAAAAGUUAUACAAAACUAAAUUAUUAAUCAACAAUUACAAUUACAAAAUUUUAUAUUUAGAAGUUAUAUAGAAAAUAUUUCAUAACUUAAUGUUAUGCAAAAUUUUCAUUUUAUCGUGAUAAAAUUAUUCAUAGUCAAAACAUAUAACAAAUUUAUUCUUUCAUUCUUAUUAUUUAUUUAAUAUUGUUUAAUUAUUAUGUUACUUUCUUGAGUUUAUAAUAAUUAUUUUACUUUAUGAUAAUUGAUCAAUUUUCUCUAUUGUUCAAAAUAUUAAGCCUUUUUAUAUAGCAACUUUAAUAAUAAUAAAAAAAAAACCCAAAGAAAGAGUCACUACAACUUUUAUAAUAUUUCGUGUAUCAUUCUAAGGGAUUGAUUUAUGGAAUUUGUCGAUACUAGAAUAAAUGAACCAAUUUUAUUUAAAUUAUAAAGUAAAAAACAACAUGUGAAUUAACUUUUAUAAAGUGAAACUAAGUAGAAGAAACUAAAUUAAUAAUAAAAUGAAUAUUGAUUUUUAAUUCAAUUGAUUCAAGUAUGGAGUUUUCCACAAUCCAACUCAAGAUAUAAAAACAGAGAGAACAAAAGUUUUUUAAGUUAAGUGAUCUUUGGGUUUUGAGAUUCUUGACCGCUCGUGAUCAACUUGAGCUUUAUAACUCGAAAUUGUAUCUGAAACCUUUUUUUUUUUUAAAUAGAUUAAUAAAAUUAUCAAAUGAAUAAGAUUGAUUAUCAGUUUAAGGUUUGACUUUCUAACCAUUUCUACUCCAUAUUGUUUUAUUUUAAGACAAAUAAUGAUAAGGAAAACCAAGAUAACUAAUAAUCAAUAGUUACCAAGAAUCAUUAGUAUUAGAUAAUAACCUACCAUCUCGUUCCAUAAACUAACUCAUAAGGAUAGGACAAAAAAAUUGAUAAAUUGUAACACAACCAGUAAUUAAUCUCAUUAUUCCAAUAAUUUACCCAUCAUUUCUAUAACCUUAGGCUUUCAUGCUUCAAGUCCCAAGUUGGCUUUUUAGCUUCUUAUAGAGUAAAAAUCCAUAAUUCAAAUUAAAAGAAACUAAAAACAAUAUAUUCAAUAAAGAAGAAAAUAAAGAAACCAAAGUUUUUGUCUUCUUCCCCACAAAAAUGCCAAACUCCUGGGAAAAUCCCUAAACCCUAUAAUUAAGAACGUUUAUAUAAUAUUAUUAAUGACCUAAUAUGUGACACACUCUCAUUGGUCACUGAUUCGAGCCAAAAUAUGUGCUUUAAUGGCACAUAUUCGAUAGGAUUUGUACACUAAAUGACACUCAAAUCACCCAACUUGACCUAAAUUGAUGCUAAGGUCUUAGCUAUGAGUUUAACUUGUAUUUUAGAGAUUUAUCUCGAGUUCAAUGGAAGAAAAUAAUGUAAGUUGAAUCACUUUAGAUUUUGAAAGAUCAAGAAACUAUUAAAAGAGGAAAUAAGCAAGUCAAGACUUAUAGACCAUGAGGAAAUGCAAGAUGAGGAUAUCAUAAGUUUGGGAGAUGAGAAAUGACCAUUAUGGAAUAAGAAAGAAGGCAAGAAAACGUAGGAAAUGACACAUGAAACAAGAUUCACUUGCGGGGAAAUUUAAAACUCAAAAUCUGGUGGUAACAUAUAUCAUUUCAAAGCUCAAGAAGUCAAGAGUCCAAGAAUUUAAACAAUGUACAAAUCAAAGCUGAAAAUGAAAAAGUUAUGGUCAUUUAAAGACAACUAUGCAAAGCUGAAGGACAAUUUCGAAAUGAUUUUGAAAUUCAACUUAUGAAUUUGAAAUCCAAUUCGAAAUGACUCCAAUUUUGAAUUCACCCACUAGCAUUUUGAUGUUUCGUCUCCUUUACAUCGAGAAUUUCAUAUAGGGCACUUCAUCUGCCUUUAGUGGGUCUCACACGACUAGAAAUCACCAUUUUAUUAUUAUUAUUUUUAGUCAUUUUUAGGUAAUUAUUUUGUAAUGAGUGGUCAAUGAGAGUGUGCCACAUGUUAGGUAAUUGAUGAUAUUAUAUAAACUUUAUUAGUUCUAGGAUUUAAAUAUCUUAGAUCAUCUUCCAAGGAGUUUGACAUUAAAGGUGGAAGAACACGAGAACUUUGAUUUGUUUUUUUUUUUAUUCUUUAUUAAAUAUAUUGUUUUUAGUUUCUUUGAUUCAAAUUAUGGAUUUUUACCCUAUUAUGGAUUGUGAAUGUGACAUCACCCCCAUGAGAGGCUAAAAAGCCAACUUGGGGCUUGAAACAUGAAAACAUAAUGACUAGAAACUUAUAAGAAUAAUAGGUAAAUUAUUGUAACAAUGAAAUUGAUUAUUGGUUGGAUUACAAUUUAUCAAUUUUUAUCUUAUCCUUGUGAGUUAGUUUAGGGAAUGAUACGUUGGGUUAUUACCCGAUACUAAUGAUUUUUGGUAACUAUUGAUCAUUAUUUAUCAUGGUCUUCUUUAUCAUUAUUUGCCCCAAAACAAAGUUAUAAGGAGUAUGAAAAGUUAAAAAGCUAAAUUUUAAACUAGUAAUUAAUCUCAUUUAUUUGAUGGUAUUAGGAAUUUGUUUUAAAAAAAGAAAAAUUACGUUUCAAAUGCAAUUUUGAGUUAUAUAAUUCAAGUUGAUCACUAGCAGCCAAGGAUCUCGAAACCUUAAGAUCAUAUUACUUAAAAGACUCUUGUUUUCUCUAGUUUCUAUACCCUAAGUUGGAUUGUGGAAAAACCCAAACUUGAAUAAAUCAAAUUUAAAAUCAAUAUUUAUUUUGUUAUUAAUUUAAUUUAUUUUAUAUAGUUUCAAUUUAUUCACAUAUCGUUUUCCACUUCAAGAUUCAAACAAAAACAAUUCAUUUACUCUAGUAUUGACAAAUCUCAUAAGCUAGUCCCUGAGAAUGAUACAUGGGAUACUACAAAAGUUGUAGCAGUUUUUCUUUUAUUUUUCUUAGUUAGAACUACUACGUAUUAGGCUUAAGUAUUUUGGUAAAAUAGAGAUUUAUAGUCAAUCACUUAUUACAAGAAAAAGUCAUAAACAACCUAAAAAGUUUCAAAAACUACGAGUUCUAAAUGAGUACAAAGCAUUUUGAAUUGGAUAAAGGCAUUUGGAACUCAUUUCGACGUGUCUAAGGGCUCAAAUUCGAUCACUAGUGGUUAAGUUCGAAAUUUGGGUGAGUUCUAAGUCAAUUUCAAACUCAUAAGUGGAAAAAGGAGGUCAAAUUCGAAAUCGAGGGGUUGAGUUCAAAAUGCACAAUGAAAUUCAAACUCAGCAUUCUUUUCUAUCCAGUUUGCUUCAAAUGCGCAUAACUUCCUCGUUUUGACUUUGAUUUGCACACUAUUUGAAGUGUUGGAUUCUUGACUUCUAGAUCUUCGAAAUGAUAUACAUAUCUUGCCCAAAAUAAACUUUGGGAAUUGUUCCAAAAUUUGCCUCUAGAUCAGAGUAUAUGUUGCCACUGGAUUUUGAGUUCCAAAUUUCCAUGCAAAUUUUAUGAUUUUGCUUCAUGCCUCAUUGUCCAUGUUUGUGUGCCUUCUUUCUUACUUCAUAAUGAUCAACCCUCAUUUCCCAAACUCAUGACAUCCUCGCAUUGCAUUUCCUUAAAUUCCAUGAGUCUUGACUCACUCAAUUUCUCAUUUAAACCUCUUGAUAUUUCAAAAUCUAAAAUGGUUUCAACUUGUACCCUUUUAUUCCCUCAAACUUGAGAUAAAUGUUUGAAAUAAAACUUAAACUUAUAGCUAGGGCCUUAGCAUUGAUUUAAAUUAAGUUAGGUGAUUUUUGUGUCAUUUGGUGCACAAAUCAUAUUGAAUAUGUGCCAUUGGAGCACAUAUGUUGGCUCUAAUUAACCGUUUAACAUCUUUUCUGAUUUAGUCCCCAAAAAAGGUAGAUGAAGCUUCUUACUAUAUAGAUAAUCUUUGAUUUGCAUUCUCUAAAAAGUAAAAUUUGUACUAUCAAACUUCUCCAUUCCAUGUGUUGAACCAUCUUCGCUAACCAUCGCUCUCAAUUACAACAAAAAAACUAUGAUACUAGUUGUUAGGAUUAAAACACCAUAAUCCUAUUUUCAAAGGGACAAUAAACGAAUACGAAAAAUUAAAAUACAAGAACACAUAAGAUUUAUAGUGGUUUACUCUCAAUGUGAGAACUAUGUCCACUUGCAAUCGAUGUAGAAUUUCACUAUGAUGAAAUGAAAAUUACAAGAAAAUAAAAAACGCCUCACCCUCUAGGUUUUUCUCUCUACAUUUUUUCCAUUUCUUUCAAUUGCACUCAAUCACUCAAAGUCAGUUAUCCUAAACAUAACAAAAUUAUGGUAGCCAAAUUACAUAUUUAAAAUCCUUAAAAGUACCCCAACUUAAAAUGCCUUUAAAAAAUUUCGUCAAUUCACAUACAACCCACAUUUUGUCUCUGCAUAGGAUUAAUCUGCAUCAAGGCGAACAUUGUUAAGAGAAUAAUUAAGCUUCACACAUCUUAACAUAUUAUCACUUCAAAUAGUCAAUAUGUACGAUUACAUACUCAGAUCACAUAGCCCACUAAAAAAAAAGAAAACAUAAUUUCAUAAUAAUACAAAAAACAUGUAAUAAUAAUAUACAAAUAAGUGAAUUAGUUACUAUUAAACACAUAAUAACAAACCAUAUAAAGAAAAAUGAAUCGAUAACCGUACGAAUAAAUAAUAAUCAACAACACACAAUGAGAUACAACUAAAAUAAUGCUAUAAACUUAAUGUCAAAAUCACACAUAAAAGUUCAAAACUUAAGCAAUAUUCUUAUUAUAAAUCUUGGAAAGGAUUCUUUAUACAUUGGAUAAUAACUUUGAAUAGAAUGGUGAGUGAAAACUUUGAUUAAUAUAUUAGUUCCUUUUCUAUUUUUUUUCUUCCUUCAAGAGGGAAUAAUGAGCUUAAAAAGAUCUUUAAAGCAUAACAUAAAUACAUAGAUGCCCGCUAUAUAUGCAAGUAAAUGUGAUGUGGUAAAGCCUGAAAUUUUCAAAAUUUAUAGAAAUUUUUUUCGGUUGUCAAAUUAAAGAUAAUCCUUGUAUUAAACAAGCUCUCCUCUUUAAUGAAGAGUCACACAUAAUUGAAUUUCAAUUGAAAAAAGAAAAUUAUGUAUUUAUUCUUCAUCCUUAUCUUCAUGAUCAUUGGUUGUUGAGUCAAGAGUAUUCUACUUAUAAGUAGAUAAGGUAUUACAAAUGGGAAAUACCAAACUUCUCAUGCAUGCAAAAUUUAGAAGAACUAUAUAUACAUAUAUAUUUAGGGAUUAGAACAAAUAAUUAAAGUGAAUCUAUUAACCAUGGUUAAAAUCAUCAUUUAUGAUAGUUUCAUAUAAUCAAGAUUUUCACAAAUACUAAGGUCCUAUUUGGUAACUGCUUUUAAAAACGGUACAAAAAAAUAGUUUUUGAAAAAUAUUGUAUGAUGUUUUGUAAAACAAAAGUUUAUUUGAAAUCUGAAAUGUUUUUAACAUGUUUUUAAUAUUUUUUAAAAUAAUUUUUAUAUCUAGGGUUUUAUUUUUAAUCACCAUAUUAUAAUUAUUUUUUUUUAAAUAGUUAUAAAAAAAUUAAGUGAAAAUAACUAAAAAUAUUAUCUGAAAAUAUCAUGUUUUUUAUUAUUGAGAACAUAAAAUAGAAAAUAGUUUCCUAGCUAUCCAAUGCAUUUUUUAAUUUUUAAUUUUAAAAAAUAGAAAACCGUUUUCCAAAAGAGUCACCAAACUGAACCUAAAAUUUUAAAAAAAAGAAGCUUAUGACUAAAAUUCUUAUUGGUAAGACCACAAUUUUGGCCUAGGGCUUGGCUCGUAAGGCCUUUCCAAGACCUUGAAAACUCCAUCCAAAUUGGAAGUCCCAAAACACCGUGGAACACACAUGGAUUAGGAAAUAUUGGUAUGAUUCUGUAACUUAUUGUGCAGUAUUUGGGAGACGACACAAGACACAUAGAACUCUUGAAAACAAAAUAGAAAUCAGUUCUCCCAAUCCAAGUGCUUUACAACUAUAACCUUAAAAUAUGUGGAAUAACAACCCAAGAAACCCUACAAAAUCAUAUUCCUUUAAGAAACUCAAGGAAAUACACGGCACUAAUAAAACUUUAUCACAUUUUUUUUUUUAAUCUUAAUUGAACUUUUCUUUUGAGUUUACUUUUAUCGAAGACUCCAUGUAAAUUUUAAAAGGGAAAGGCGGUUUCCAAUAAUUUAAAAAAAUAUAUAUAUAAAAUAACUUCAACUUUUAUAAAUAUGAUUUAUCUCUAUCAAUUUAAAAAUAUUUUUAAAUACAUAUAUUUUUUUAAUUAUCUACUAAAACGACAUUUUACUUGUCAAGUUAAUAACAUAAUCGACAAUUUAUUUAUUUUUUAUCAUGAUAAAUUUCAGAUUAAUAAAAUAGGAAAUUUUAAAAAAUUAAAAAUAUAAUUAAAGCUAAAAAAAAUUUAUAACUAAAAAUAUAAAAAUAAAAUAUUAACUUUCGCUUCACUAAAUCACAUUAGUAGAAAACGUAGAUUCAAGAAAAAAUAGGAAAUACAAUAGAAUUCAAUAUUUUAUCUUUUCUAAUUUUAAAGUUUUUUGGUUUUAAUUGUAUUUAAUUUUUAAUUUUUUGUUUUAAUUGUAUUUAAUUUUAAAAAAUAUUAGUUUCAAUUGUAUUUUAAAAUUUUUAAAAUUUUUUAUUUUAUUGUUGAUGACAACUACCAAAAUUUUUAUUCAAUUUUAUUUUUAAAAAAAAUGAUAAAGUAGAUUUUUAUAAUAUAGGAUAUAAAAUCAUUAUUAAUUAGAGAAUGAAAAAUUUUUAUUUAUCAUUGGGGAUGUUGGAUAAUUUUUUGUAAAAUAAUCUAUAUCUCAUGUUUCAUAAUAAAAAAAAUUAUAAUAUAUUUAUUAGUGAGAUAAUUUUAUUAAAUUAAAAUAAUAAAUUAAUUUUUUGAUAAUUUUAUUUAAUAUUAUAAAAUAAAAUGAUAUUUUAAGAAAUAAACAUCUAAUUUAUAAUAUAUAUAUAUAUAAUGUUUUAAAAUGUUUUUAAACGAAUGAAGAUAUAAUUGAUUUAUAAAAAUUGAGGUUGUUCUUUCUAUAUUUUUUUAAAUUAGCGAGUAAAAAAUCGCUUUGUAAAAUUAUUUUUUAUGAAUUUUACUUUUUAGAAAUUACAAUAUCCAUGCAAAAAGCCAGAGGAUGAGGUGGGAUUUAGAAUUUUGGAGGGUGAGAUGGUGAAAGGAUACGGAGGAAGCAAAACAAAGAAUUCAGAUUCAGCUGGUGGGCCGCGUCAUGGGUGAGGCAGGGGCACGCACGCAUUACGAGCACAUCCAACGUAUCACAGGUCGAUUUUCUUGCCUCCCACUCACGGGCCCCCUUCCCGAGUUCAUUCCAAUCUUUUUGUUAUAUGUUUUGAUCCUUAGAAAUGAUGAAAAUGAACUUAUCCCUUAAAUUUUGUAUUCCAGAACGCAUAUCAACCGCCUCCAUGUCUGCAAUCUGCAUAACCUAAUGCAUGGGUACUGGUGUAAAAACUAAAAACCUAAAACUUCGUAUAUUGGGAAACGUGGAUUUGACCAAUAAGGAUAGAAUGCCUACCACCACGACGUCGUUUGGUACGAUGGAUUGCUUGACAAGUUGGGUUUUUCCAUUUGCAAAUUUCGGCGCUGUACACACCUGCCAAUUUCUGUACCUCAACCUCAAUGGAAACCAAAGCUCCGUCCAAUCUCGCUUCUUCGCAAAACCCUAAAUCCUCAAUUACAAAAUCAGUAAGCAAUAACAGAGACUUCUUGAACCACCUGGAAGCUUACCUCGCAAAGAGAGAUGGAGUCGACAAGCUUCUAAAGAUCUCCAGGUACGCCACCAGGAUCAUCCUCGCUUCCUCGCUCCUCCCCGAAACCUUGACCCUAAAUCGCCGACUCAAGAGCUUUGAGUCCAGCGUCGGUGUGAGUCGCAAAGCCUUCAGACUAGGCAAAUUCGUUCAAGAUUUGAACGCAUUAAGAAACACGUGUUUCGAUUCGAAAGAAGAUGUGAUCCUCUCCAUCAUUG
rnacentral:lncRNA from 1 species